rnacentral:sRNA from 1 species
CGAGAACGGAAGAGGCGGCGCGCCGGUUGAGCAGGGCGUCUCUAGGCCUGGUCGGCUGGCGGCGGUCCUUAUGUCGUCAGAAGAUCGAGAAGCUCAGGAGGAUGAAUUGCUGGCCCUGGCAAGUAUUUACGAUGGAGAUGAAUUUAGAAAAGCAGAGUCUGUCCAAGGUGGAGAAACCAGGAUCUAUUUGGAUUUGCCACAGAAUUUCAAGAUAUUUGUGAGCGCUAUCUGCUCUAUGCAAGCACUUAGACAACCUAUGGGAAGAACACCGUGGCAGCGUGGUCCUGUUUGCCUGGAUGCAAUUUCUUAAGGAAGAGACCCUAGCAUACUUGAAUAUUGUCUCUCCUUUUGAGCUCAAGAUUGGUUCUCAGAAAAAAGUGCAGAGAAGGACAGCUCAAGCUUCUCCCAACACAGAGCUAGAUUUUGGAGGAGCUGCUGGAUCUGAUGUAGACCAAGAGGAAAUUGUGGAUGAGAGAGCAGUGCAGGAUGUGGAAUCACUGUCAAAUCUGAUCCAGGAAAUCUUGGACUUUGAUCAAGCUCAGCAGAUAAAAUGCUUUAAUAGUAAAUUGUUCCUGUGCAAUAUCUGUUUCUGUGAGAAGCUGGGUAGUGAAUGCAUGUACUUCUUGGAGUGCAGGCAUGUGUACUGCAAAGCCUGUUUGAAGGACUACUUUGAAAUCCAGAUCA